CAGCGGCGGUGUGAACGCUGGUUCUGCCGGUAGCACCGAAUUCUGCUCACCCAUGGCUGUGGUGAUGUCUGCUCAUGCUCAGUAGCCAGCGCUAUCGAAGAGACCCAGAUCCUCAGAUUGACCCUGCCAGGUGGAAUCCCAAACACUGCUGAGGAACAACGACGAUCCAUGAAAAGAUGGCCUCAACUUCUCUAUGAAAGGCUUGAGGUGGUUGGAUCAGAGAGGAGUUCAGCAGAAUUUCUACAGUCUCCUUGGAGCAGAGCUUCAUGUUCAGACUGGACCAGUACUCUCCGAAACACCUUUCCCUGAUGAGAGCCAAGGCUGCUGUAGCAGGGACCGGAAGGAGGCCAUCCUUGGACCGACAG